AAAUGGACUCUCAGCACGGAUAUCUUGGCUCUUG
rnacentral:rRNA from 1 species